AAUAAAAUAACCUGAAAAUUACUUAAAUAUUAGAAGGAAAGGAAAGAAUAUGUAUGAUAAUAAUCCUCUUUAGAUAAGAACUAUUGUUGCUGAAAAUAAGGGUGCUAGUGUGAAUUUUAAAAGUCUCCAUCUUGGUAUAGCACCCAAAAAUUGUGCACACCCACACUACACAGGCAUGUGCUAGUCAAUGACAAAUCAGAAAUAACUAACUGCCCACCUGGGCUGUCCUAAGCCAAGCUAGAGCCAACCAUUGGCAAUUGUGAGACACAGGAAGUGAGGUAGGGAACAGCCUCUGGAAUUCGCUUACUUCCUGUGGAGAGAGCUAGACGGCAGUUGGUGUUAGGAGCUUAGACAGGGAGGAUGCUUGCAGACAGCUUUCCUUCAUAUCGGUCACGAAAGAGAAACUGGUUUUCUGCUUGGUGACCCUUGCUUUCUUCUCUAUGUGGCUUUUCUUAAGCCAAGAGAAAGAAAUAGUUCCAUCACACAGUGCAUGUCGGCAGUUUCUUUUACCGUCUUGUCCUAAUCAGAUUUUGUCCUCUCUAAGGAAAGGACCUUUCCUCUCCUUUCAGAUGUUUGAAUUAACAUAGCCGUCCUUUUUUGGAGAGUUCUGUACGCAGUCUUACGUUUCACAACCAGGCCAAAGACUUCUGACACAAAACUCUUGGGAAAAUUUUACAGGGGGGAGAAUCCCCUUCCUUCUGAACAUGGUAGAGUACCUUGCAAAUAGAACACACAGUGCUGCUAAACAGACACUCGA